rnacentral:rRNA from 1 species
GUAACCUUGGGGUUGGCUCUUGUCUAUGUUUCUUGGAACAGGACGUCACAGAGGGUGAGAAUCCCGUGCGAUGAGAUGCCCAAUCCUAUGUAAGGUGCUUUCGAAGAGUCGAGUUGUUUGGGAAUGCAGCUCUAAGUGGGUGGUAAAUUCCAUCUAAAGCUAAAUAUUGGCGAGAGACCGAUAGCGAACAAGUACAGUGAUGGAAAGAUGAAAAGAACUUUGAAAAGAGAGUGAAAAAGUACGUGAAAUUGUUGAAAGGGAAGGGUUUGAGAUCAGACUCGAUAUUUUGUGAGCCUUGCCUUCGUGGCGGGGUGACCCGCAGCUUAUCGGGCCAGCAUCGGUUUGGGCGGUAGGAUAAUGGCGUAGGAAUGUGACUUUGCUUCGGUGAAGUGUUAUAGCCUGCGUUGAUGCUGCCUGCCUAGACCGAGGACUGCGAUUUUAUCAAGGAUGCUGGCAUAAUGAUCCCAAACCGCCCGUCU